rnacentral:rRNA from 1 species
AGCAGCCGCGGUAAUUCCAGCUCCAAUAGCGUAUAUUAAAGUUGUUGCAGUUAAAAAGCUCGUAGUUGAAUUUCGGGAUCAAUUUAUCGGUCGUGCCAAUGGUAUGAACUGGUACAAUUGGUCCCCACCUUCUGACGAAGCGUGAUGUCAUUAAUUUGGUGUCGUGGGGAAUCAGGACUGUUACUUUGAAAAAAUUAGAGUGUUUAAAGCAAGCAUUAGCUUGAAUACAUUAGCAUGGAAUAAUGAAAUAGGACGUUUGAUCCUAUUUCGUUGGUUUCUAGGAUCGACGUAAUGAUUAAUAGGGAUAGUUGGGGGCAUUAGUAUUCAAUUGUCAGAGGUGAAAUUCUUGGAUUUAUUGAAGACUAACUACUGCGAAAGCAUUUGCCAAGGAUGUUUUCAUUAAUCAAGAACGAAAGUUAGGGGAUCGAAGACGAUCAGAUACCGUCGUAGUCUUAACCAUAAACUAUGCCGACUAGGGAUCGGAUGAUGUUAAUUUUUUAAUGACUCAUUCGGCGCCUUACG